AGGGAGUAGUGUAAUGGAAACACGAAGGGUUUUGAUCUCUUGUAUGUAGGUUCGAAUCCUAUUUUUCUAG
rnacentral:tRNA from 1 species